rnacentral:rRNA from 1 species
UACAGGGGGUGCAAACGUUGCUCGGAAUUAUUGGGCGUAAAGCGCGCGUAGGCGGCCGCUUAAGUCGGAUGUGAAAGCCCCUGGCUCAACUGGGGAAGUGCACCCGAAACUGAGUGGCUUGAGUACUAAAGAGGGUCGCGGAAUUCCCGGUGUAGAGGUGAAAUUCAUAGAUAUCGGGAGGAACACCGGUGGCGAAGGCGGCGACCUGGGUAGAUACUGACGCUGAGGCGCGAAAGCGUGGGGAGCAAACAGG